CUCAGGAUGAACGCUAGCGGCAGGCCUAAUACAUGCAAGUCGAACGAUACCAUCUGGCUUGCCAGAUGGGAAAGUGGCGCACGGGUGCGUAACGCGUAUGCAACCUACCUUAAUCAGGGGGAUAGCCCGAAGAAAUUCGGAUUAACACCGCAUAAAAACACAGGGUAGCAUUACCUCAUGUUCAAAUAUUUAUAGGAUUAAGAUGGGCAUGCGUGUCAUUAGCUAGUUGGCGGGGUAACGGCCCACCAAGGCGACGAUGACUAGGGGAUCUGAGAGGAUGACCCCCCACACUGGUACUGAGACACGGACCAGACUCCUACGGGAGGCAGCAGUAAGGAAUAUUGGUCAAUGGAGGCAACUCUGAACCAGCCAUGCCGCGUGCAGGAAGACAGCCCUCUGGGUCGUAAACUGCUUUUAUUCGGGAAUAAACCUCAUUACGUGUAAUGAGCUGAAUGUACCGAAGGAAUAAGGAUCGGCUAACUCCGUGCCAGCAGCCGCGGUAAUACGGAGGAUCCAAGCGUUAUCCGGAUUUAUUGGGUUUAAAGGGUGCGUAGGCGGCUUAUUAAGUCAGGGGUGAAAGACGGUGGCUCAACCAUCGCAGUGCCCUUGAUACUGAUGAGCUUGAAUACACUAGAGGUAGGCGGAAUGUGACAAGUAGCGGUGAAAUGCAUAGAUAUGUCACAGAAC
rnacentral:rRNA from 1 species